rnacentral:rRNA from 1 species
AGUCGUAACAAGGUUUCCGUAGGUGAGCCUGCGGAAGGAUCAUUAUUGAAAUAAACCUGAUGAGUUGUUGCUGGUUCUCUAGAGAGCAUUGUGCACGCUUGUCAUCUUUAUGUCUCCACCUGUGCACAUUUUGUAGACCUGGAUCACUCUCUGAAAUGCUAACCAGCAUUUUAGGUUGGAGGAAUUUGACUUUGUUGUCUUUCCUUGCAUUUCUAGGUCUAUGUUUUUUCAUAUAAUCUUAUUGUGAUAUAAUGGGCCCUAUAUAAUAUAAACUUAUACAACUUUCAGCAACGGAUCUCUUGGCUCUCGCAUCGAUGAAGAACGCAGCGAAAUGCGAUAAGUAAUGUGAAUUGCAGAAUUCAGUGAAUCAUCGAAUCUUUGAACGCACCUUGCGCUCCUUGGUAUUCCGAGGAGCAUGCCUGUUUGAGUGUCAUUAAUAUAUCAACCUCUUUAAAUUUUGAGAGUGUUUGGAUGUGGGGGNUGUUAUUUUGCUGGCCUUCUCCAAGGUCAGCUCCCCUGAAAUGUAUUAGCGGAACAAUUUGCUGACCGUUCAUUGGUGUGAUAGCAUAUCUAUGCUAUUGACGUAAAGCAAGUUCAGCUUAUAACAGUCCAUUGACUUGGACAAUUCUCUAUUUAUUAAUGUGACCUCAAAUCAGGUAGGACUACCCGCUGAACUUAAGCNUNUCAAUAAGCGGNGNAAAAGNAACUNNCNANGGAUUCCCCUAGUACUGCGAGUGAAGCGGGAAAAGCUCAAAUUUAAAAUCUGUCAGUCUUUGGCUGUCCGAGUUGUAAUCUAGAGAAGUGUUAUCCGCGCUGGACCGUGUACAAGUCUCCUGGAAUGGAGCGUCAUAGAGGGUGAGAAUCCCGUCUUUGACACGGACUGCCAGGGCUUUUGUGAUGCGCUCUCAAAGAGUCGAGUUGUUUGGGAAUGCAGCUCAAAAUGGGUGGUAAAUUCCAUCUAAAGCUAAAUAUUGGCGAGAGACCGAUAGCGAACAAGUACCGUGAGGGAAAGAUGAAAAGAACUUUGGAAAGAGAGUUAAACAGUACGUGAAAUUGCUGAAAGGGAAACGCUUGAAGUCAGUCGCGUCAUUCAGGGAUCAACCUUGCUUUUGCUUGGUGUACUUUCUGGUUGACGGGUCAGCAUCAAUUUUGACCAUUGGAAAAAGAUUAAGGGAAUGUGGCAUACAUAGUGAUGUGUUAUAGCCCUUGGUUGCAUACAAUGGUUGGGAUUGAGGAACUCAGCACGCCGCAAGGCCGGGUUUUUAUUAACCACGUACGUGCUUAGGAUGUUGGCAUAAUGGCUUUAAUCGACCCGUCUUGAAACACGGACC